AUCACUUCUCGGCCUUUUGGCUAAGAUCAAGUGUAAAACCAAGGCUAAAUUUGUUGCUUUUUUUUUUGGUACCGGGGAUCGAACUCGGGACCUUGCGCUUGCGAGGCAGGUGGCGGAACCACUGAGCUAAAUCCCUGGCCCAGGGCUAAAUUUGUU
rnacentral:snRNA from 1 species